GUCACUGUAGUGCAGUGGUUAGCACGGUCGCCUCCAAAGGGACAGACUCGGGUUCGAUCCCCGACGGAGACC
rnacentral:tRNA from 1 species